ACGGGAGGCAGCAGUGAGGAAUAUUGGUCAAUGGGCGGAAGCCUGAACCAGCCAAGUCGCGUGAGGGAAGACGGUCCUAUGGAUUGUAAACCUCUUUAGCCAGGGAGCAAUAAGCGCCAUGCAUGGUGUGAUGAGAGUACCUGGAGAAUAAGGAUCGGCUAACUCCGUGCCAGCAGCCGCGGUAAUACGGAGGAUCCGAGCGUUAUCCGGAUUUAUUGGGUUUAAAGGGUGCGCAGGCGGCCCUGUAAGUCAGCGGUUAAAUCGUGGAGCUCAACUCCAUCCCGCCGUUGAUACUGCAGGGCUUGAUUGCGGUCGAGGUUGGCGGAAUUCGACGUGUAGCGGUGAAAUGCAUAGAUAUGGCGAAGAACUCCGAUUGCGUAGGCAGCUGACCAGGCCGUAAAUGACGCUCAUGCACGAAAGUGCGGGGAUCGAACAGGAUUAGAUACCCUGGUA
rnacentral:rRNA from 1 species